rnacentral:rRNA from 1 species
GACAGAGGGUGCAAACGUUGCUCGGAAUCACUGGGCAUAAAGCGCACGUAGGCGGUCCACUAAGUCAGGUGUGAAAUCCCCCGGCUCAACCGGGGAACUGCACUUGAUACUGGUGGACUCGAGGGUGGCAGGGGUGGGCGGAACUCCAGGUGGAGCGGUGAAAUGCGUAGAUAUCUGGAGGAACACCGGCGGCGAAAGCGGCCCACUGGACCACAUCUGACGCUGAGGUGCGAAAGCUAGGGUAGCAAACGGG